rnacentral:rRNA from 1 species
ACAUGCAAGUCGAACGAUCACUUAGGUGGGUAGCAAUUAUUCGCUAGGUGGGAGUGGCGCAAGGGGUGCGUAACACGGUUGGGUUAAUUUGCCAUGAAGUCUGGAAUAACUUGCUGAAAGGCGAGCUAAUACCGGAUGUGAUUACUGGAAGGCAUCUUCUGGUACUUAAAGUCGGGGACCGUAAGGCCUGACACUUCUUGAUAAGCCCGCGGCCUAUCAGCUAGUUGGUGGGGUAACGGCUCACCAAGGCUAAGACGGGUAGCUGGUCUGAGAGGACGACCAGCCUCACUGGAACUGAGACACGGUCCAGACACCUACGGGUGGCAGCAGUCGAGAAUUUUUCUCAAUGGGGGAAACCCUGAAGGAGCGACGCCGCGUGGGGGAUGAAUGGCUUCGGCCCGUAAACCCCUGUCAUUUGCGAUCAAACCUUACGACCUAACACGUCGUAAGCUGAUAGUAGCGGAAGAGGAAGGGACGGCUAACUCUGUGCCAGCAGCCGCGGU